rnacentral:rRNA from 1 species
UAAAUAGCCGCGGUAUUUUGACCGUGCAAAGGUAGCAUAAUCAUUAGUCUUUUAAUUGGGGGCUGGAAUGAAUGGUUUGACGAGAAAUUAGCUGUCUCUUAAUAAGUUUUAGAAUUUAACUUUUGAGUCAAAAGGCUUAAAUUUUUUUUUAGGACGAGAAGACCCUAUAGAUCUUGACAUUUAUAUUUUAUAUUUUUUGUAGAUAAUCUUUUUGUAUUAAUUUUUAAUGUUUUGUUGGGGUGACAUGAAGAAUAAAUAAACUCUUCAUUAUUAAAUCAUUUAUUUAUGAUUGUUUGAUCCAUAAUUUAUGAUCAUAAGAUUAAGUUACCUUAGGGAUAACAGCGUAAUUAUUUUUGAGAGUUCAUAUCGACAAAAUAGAUUGCGACCUCGAUGUUGGAUUAAGAUUAAUUUUAGGUGUAGUAGCUUAAAAAUUAGGUCUGUUCGACCUUUAAAUUCUUACG